rnacentral:rRNA from 1 species
UUAGAGUUUGAUCCUGGCUCAGGACGAACGCUGGCGGCGUGCCUAAUACAUGCAAGUCGAACGCGUCCCGGUUGAUGAAGUUGAGUGCUUGCACUUGACUGAUUCAACUUGGUGACGAGUGGCGAACUGGUGAGUAACACGUGGGUAACCUGCCCCGAAGCGGGGAAUAACAUUUGGAAACAGGUGCUAAUACCGCAUAACAACCAAAACCUCCUGGUUUUGGUUUAAAAGACGGCUUCGGCUGUCACUUUGGGAUGGACCCGCGGCGUAUUAGCUAGUUGGUGAGGUAACGGCUCACCAAGGCGAUGAUACGUAGCCGACCUGAGAGGGUAAUCGGCCACAUUGGGACUGAGACACGGCCCAAACUCCUACGGGAGGCAGCAGUAGGGAAUCUUCCACAAUGGACGCAAGUCUGAUGGAGCAACGCCGCGUGAGUGAUGAAGGGUUUCGGCUCGUAAAACUCUGUUGUUGGAGAAGAACGGGUGUCAGAGUAACUGUUGACAUCGUGACGGUAUCCAACCAGAAAGCCACGGCUAACUACGUGCCAGCAGCCGCGGUAAUACGUAGGUGGCAAGCGUUGUCCGGAUUUAUUGGGCGUAAAGCGAGCGCAGGCGGUUUUUUAGGUCUGAUGUGAAAGCCUUCGGCUUAACCGGAGAAGUGCAUCGGAAACCGGGAGACUUGAGUGCAGAAGAGGACAGUGGAACUCCAUGUGUAGCGGUGAAAUGCGUAGAUAUAUGGAAGAACACCAGUGGCGAAGGCGGCUGUCUAGUCUGCAACUGACGCUGAGGCUCGAAAGCAUGGGUAGCGAACAGGAUUAGAUACCCUGGUAGUCCAUGCCGUAAACGAUGAGUGCUAAGUGUUGGAGGGUUUCCGCCCUUCAGUGCUGCAGCUAACGCAUUAAGCACUCCGCCUGGGGAGUACGACCGCAAGGUUGAAACUCAAAGGGAAUUGACGGGGGCCCGCACAAGCGGUGGAGCAUGUGGUUUAAUUCGAUGCUACGCGAAGAACCUUACCAGGUCUUGACAUCUUCUGCUAACCUAAGAGAUUAGGCGUUCCCUUCGGGGACGGAUUGACUGGUGGGUGCAUGGUU